rnacentral:snoRNA from 1 species
GGUCUGUGAUGAAUAGUAAAAGGUCUGAUUAUCCUAAGACUUGCACUUCCAUGACCUUUUCUCCCAGCAGUUUCUCGCCUGUCACAGCACAGUGAUGAUGUGGCUGGCAGAGUGUUUGCUGACAGUUUGUGAUGUGCUCAGUUCAUGUUAACCUGAAGCAUCGGAGACAUGACUGGAAUUAGCAUCCAACAGUCUUACUUGAAGGAGUUUGGGGUCUUGGAUUGUCUUAAAUGGACAUGUGAUCUGACUUUUCUGCUGAGACC